rnacentral:rRNA from 1 species
UACGUAGGGGGCUAGCGUUGUCCGGAAUCAUUGGGCGUAAAGCGCGUGUAGGCGGUCCGGUAAGUCCGCUGUGAAAGUCGGGGGCUCAACCCUCGAAUGCCGGUGGAUACUGUCGGGCUAGAGUGCGGAAGAGGCGAGUGGAAUUCCUGGUGUAGCGGUGAAAUGCGCAGAUAUCAGGAGGAACACCAAUUGCGAAGGCGGCUCUCUGGACCGAGACUGACGCUGAGGCGCGAAAGCGUGGGGAGCAAAAGGG